AUACCACGAUGAGGACAUCUCCUGUGUAACUCCUUAAAUCUUUCCCAUGCAUCAUACAAACUCUCAUCUUCAAGUUCAUGGAAAGAUGUGACCUCAUUCCUCAAUUU
rfam:Citrus sinensis cultivar Ridge Pineapple sweet orange scaffold00657_contig_6, whole genome shotgun sequence.